rnacentral:tRNA from 1 species
AGCUUUAUAGUUAAUUAAUAAUAUAAAAUUGCAAAUUUUAAGUAGAAAACUUAUUCUAAGGCUU